GGGAACGUACCUUUUGGUUCGGAACAACUGAGGGAAACUUCAGCUAAUACCGGAUAAGCCCUUACGGGGAAAGAUUUAUCGCCGAAAGAUCGGCCCGCGUCUGAUUAGCUAGUUGGUAGGGUAAUGGCCUACCAAGGCGACGAUCAGUAGCUGGUCUGAGAGGAUGAUCAGCCACAUUGGGACUGAGACACGACCCAAACUCCUACGGGAGGCAGCAGUGGGGAAUAUUGGACAAUGGGGGCAACCCUGAUCCAGCCAUGCCGCGUGAGUGAUGAAGGCCCUAGGGUUGUAAAGCUCUUUUGUGCGGGAAGAUAAUGACGGUACCGCAAGAAUAAGCCCCGGCUAACUUCGUGCCAGCAGCCGCGGUAAUACGAAGGGGGCUAGCGUUGCUCGGAAUCACUGGGCGUAAAGGGUGCGUAGGCGGGUUUUUAAGUCAGAGGUGAAAUCCUGGAGCUCAACUCCAGAACUGCCUUUGAUACUGGAAAUCUUGAGUAUGGGAGAGGUGAGUGGAACUGCGAGU
rnacentral:rRNA from 1 species